AGGCCGCCGCCCCGCCCCGUUCCCGCGAACCUUCUACCAGCGCCACCUCCGGACAACCACCCGGCCGCCGCCGCGCCGCCCUGAACUCCUCAACCUUCUGCUUCAACGACCCCAACCGCGCCCCUCCCCGAUCCGGCCCCGCCGCGCCGCCUCCGACGAGCCAUGGCGGCCGCACACUUCCUGCGCCCUUCCACCCCGCAGCGGCGCCGCCCAGCAAGAUCCCCUCUGCCACUGUGGCUCACGGCCAGCGCGACCUAUCUCCCACAGCCGGAUUCGUCUGUCCCGGCCCCGUACGCAGCUGCGGGCACCACGGUGACCUUCCACCUCCAGGCGCUCUGAGCCGCCACGCCCGCUCCAGGCUAGCCGCCCCAUCCCAUCCCCCACAACCGCAGCCUCCGACGACACUCCAGGCAACGGAUCGAGGCAUCUCCGGCCCGAUCCCGUCGCCAUGUUCCCUGGAGGUGAGGGAUCCCGAGCGGCCUUCCCCGCUCUGACGUUCAGUCCGAUGAUGCUCCGCCUACAGUGCACUUGUUGGGCGCGUGCAAAAACAUCCCCUCCCUGCUCUGUAGUGUGCCUCACUGUCACGGUAGCGCGGCGGGUGCAGCUUGGUUGUGUGGCAGAAACAGAGAAGCUACGAUGCAGUCCAUUCCCCCGAGCAAGCUACAUCACCUCCCCCUGACUUUUCAGUUCAUGGUCGUGCAGUACUCUGGUGACGCCACAACGGUGUUGUUGCACUGGGUGCUCCUAGUGCACUUCAAAGAUUUUUUGGUUUGUUCAUAUUUGCACGGCAGUGCACUUCAACCUGGGGGUGCCCCUAUGUCAUUCAUGUUUUUUUGGCUCUUUUAGUUUUUUAUAUGUUGUACUUGUAAGGUGUGGUUCCCUUCUAUUUUUGAACGGGGCAAACACAUUAAAAAGGCCGGUCUGAAUGGCCCCUAACCGGCCGUUCACCUCGCCGAUGCUUGCAGUCCAGCCUUGCAGUUUGCGGACAUGGCCAUGGCAUGAAGUUUGGUUAGAGCAGGCAUGAGGUUCGGCCAGACCAUGGGUGCAUUUUUUAGUGUAUCCGCCUCACGCUAUUUUUAUGUGUUCGCAAUGCAAAAGAGAAAAAAGAUGUAGUACGCUUGCCU